GAUCAACGCUGGCGGCGUGCCUAAUGCAUGCAAGUCGAACGGGACGGCUUCGGCCGCACCCGUGGCGAACGGCUGAGGAACACGUGCGUACCUGCCCGGCGGUGGGGAAUACCGGCUGGAAACAGCCGACAACUCCGCAUACGCUUCGGUGACGAAGGAAAAUCUUCGGAUGCCGCCGGAGGGGCGCGCGGCCCAUCAGGUAGUUGGUGUGGUAACGGCGCACCAAGCCGAUGACGGGUCGCUGGUCUGAGAGGACGGCCAGCCAGACUGGGACUGAGACACGGCCCAGACACCUACGGGUGGCAGCAGCAAGGAAUCUUCCCCAAUGGGCUCACGCCUGAGGGAGCAACGCCGCGUGGAGGAUGACGGCCUUCGGGUUGUAAACUCCUUUUCCCACGGAAGAAACGGACGGUACGUGGGGAAUCAGCCCCGGCUAACUCUGUGCCAGCAGCCGCCGUAAGAC
rnacentral:rRNA from 1 species